rnacentral:lncRNA from 1 species
GGAAGCUUAUUACAGAAAAGCCCAGCCUCAUUCAUUAUAGGUUUAUGUCUCCAUUUCUCUUUGGUGCAAUGUAUUUAAUAGAAUGAGUUAUAUAGAGAAAAAGAGUAAGAAAUGAGCUGAGGAGACAGAGCCUGGGACAGCUCAAAUGCAUUACUCACUGCUAUUUAAGGAGUUAAGUGUAAGGUCAACCACUCGCGAUAAUCCCUACACGGUGGCAUCUAACCGUCAAAGUGCACAGGCACCUGUGGGUUACCCUCACAGGCAAUGACAACACGUCUAGUGCUCGCCAUGGCCCGAUAUCUGCAGUUGGGUGCCCUGGAACUUCCUGUGUCCCUGCAAUCUGUGACCUUCACUACACCCUCAUGGCAGUUCAUCUUGCCGUUCUUGCAUUGGAUAUUGGUGGUGCUGCAGAUACUACGAAUGUUCCAGAUAUCUUCAUGGAUGAAGGUGUUGAAGCGCUUGCAGUGAUACAAAGUCAUCUUCCGUCUUUGCAUCAUCAAGUUGCAGUAGCGAUCACUGCCACCUGUCUCCUCAGGGUGCACGUGUUGCCGCAGGAAUCGCUGGUACAUGCCAUCCUGGCCAUAGGAGGGCUGGACCAGCCCCAGCCCCAGCAGGGUCAGCAGCAAAAGCAGAAGCAAUGAAUGGGUCCUCUGCAGAGCCAUCAGUAUCUUAGAGGUGCCUAGAAAAGAAAGCAAGGGGCAGGAGAAAUAAGGUCUAUAAGCAUGAACUUAUUCAAUAACGGAAGUAACAGGUAAAGAAGGAAAAGCACACGUGGCAAGAAGAACCACGUCUCCAGGAAGAGGCAACACUACUGAUUGAAGGACAGUGGGGACAAAGUCCUGCUGACAUGCCUGUAUU